UCAAAACACUAUUAUCUCUCCCUUUUCAAGUG
rnacentral:piRNA from 1 species